UUUAACAAGAGUUUGAUCCUAGCUCAGGAUGAACGCUGGCGGCGUGGAUAAGGCAUGCAAGUCGAGCGAUCCCGCGAAGCUCCGCAAGGAGCGGCGUGGGAGAGCGGCGAACGGGUUAGUAACACGUAGGAACGUACCUCCGAGACGGGGAUAACCAGCCGAAAGGUUGGCUAAUACCCGAUGGCAUCGUGCUUCACUAUUGUUCAGCACUGCGCGACCCAAAAAAUCCGAAUACAUCCGAAUUACCCGAAUAAAUCAUUCGUGGCAUUCGUGUAAAUUCGGGUGUUUAGGGUCGGUAGUGGCGAGCGGUAGCGAGGCACGAUUAAAAGAGCAAUCUGCUCGGAGAGCGGCCUGCGGGCUAUCAGCUAGUUGGCGGGGUAACGGCCCACCAAGGCUACGACGGCUAGGGGGUGUUAGAGCAUGGCCCCCAACAUUGGGACUGAGACACGGCCCAGACUCCUACGGGAGGCAGCAGCCGAGAAUAUUCGACAAUGGGCGAAAGCCUGAUCGAGCGACGCCGCGUGGUUGAUGAAGUCCUUCGGGACGUAAAAACCUUUUAUGAUUAAGAAAGUUUAUUGAUCUGAUCAUGAAUAAGGGGCUACUAACUCUGUGCCAGCAGUAGCGGUAAUACAGAGGCCCCAAGCGUUAUCCGGAAUCACUGGGCGUAAAGGGUGUGUAGGUGGUUUUGUUAGUCCUUCGUUACUACCCGCGGCUCAACCGCGGAGGUGCGAA
rnacentral:rRNA from 1 species